UAGAAGGUGGGAAGCAGGG
rnacentral:misc_RNA from 1 species